rnacentral:rRNA from 1 species
AUGAAGCCCAUGGAGGCAGCGGCGUGCUCCGGCGGCCUGGAUCCCGCGGCACUGGCGGAGGCGCCGCGGCUGCUGCGCUCGGCCUCUCGGGCCAUGGAGGGGCUGGCCUCCGACAUCCAGUCCUGCGGCGGGAGCCGCCGGAGAUGCGCGCCUGGGGCCAGCAAGUGCGGGGGGAAGGCCGCCGCCCCCACCCUGGAGCUUCUCGUCGCCUAUUUGCUCCAGAUCUGGGGCAUCUCCGCCGCCGCCGGAUAUAAGGCGCUGGCUCUGCAGGCCAGGGACGCCUUCUACUUCGCCCAAGACCUUCAAGACACCAUCGACUGCCACAACCCGCCUCGGGUUCGUAGCCGUCGUCAGUCCAAGCCCCUCCCCGCCCUCAGGUGGUGUGCUUCCAACUGCCUCCCUUUUGGAAUAGUUGCGUCCAAACCACCCAAGAAGAUCAUCAAGGACAUCAAAGCUGUGAAUCAAGAAACUCAAAAGAUUGUUGAUCUGCUUGACAAGGCCGCCGCCGGCUCAUCGUCCGCUUCGCUGCCGCCGCGGAUGCCUGAUUCAGGCAGGGAAAUUCUUCAGACUAGGGUAUUUGUUGGGCGCGACAAGGAGAAGGAUGAUAUCGUGCAAUUGCUCAUCCAGCCAUGUGCCAAGUCUGCUGUUAUCUCCGUUGUUGGUGCUGGAGGAAUCGGGAAGACAACUCUUGCUCGGACGGUGUUCAACGAUGCAGCGGUUGGGGAGCAUUUUGAUGUCAAAUGUUGGGUGUCAGUUUCAAGUAGCUCCAACAAGAUGGAGCUCGCAGCACAGAUCCUAAGGUCGGUCAAGCCAGCAUGGGAUGGCUCUGCUGACAAGAUGGUGGAUUUUCAAAUGCUUCAGUCUGAGCUCCGUCGAUCUCUUACAUCAAAGAGGUAUCUGAUCGUUCUUGAUGAUGUAUGGAACAGCAAGGAUGAAACCUGGCUGGACAUGCUCACUCCUCUACAGUCAGCAGAUAUUGGGAGCAGAAUUAUGGCGACUUCUCGCAUGAACACCGUGCCUCACAUCCUCGGAGCAUCGCAGAUGUACACCGUGAAUCCGCUCAACAGCGACGAUUGCUGGGCCCUGCUGAAGGAACAUGCUUUUCCAAGUGAUCUUGGGAAUGUCUAUCCAAAUCUUCACCAGAUCGGGAAACAGAUUGCUGAAAAAAUCAAUGGUUCACCUCUGGCUGCCAAGCUGGUGGGAGGUUUGCUGGGUGAUACAAGGAGCGAAAUUCACUGGAUGAAUAUCAUGGAAACAGGAUUAAAAGAUAAUAAUGUUUCCUCUGCCCUACGCUUGAGCUAUAAGUACCUACCAGUACACCUCAAGCGGUGCUUCGCAUAUUGCAGUUUGUUUGCAAAAGACCAUAAGUUUGAUCCAGCACACUUGUCCCGCCUUUGGAUUGCCGAGGGUUUUGUUCAACCACAAGGCACGGCUGACAAAAGGAUGGAAGACAUAGCUAGAGAAUAUUUUGAUCAGCUCCUUUCACGCUCAUUCUUUCAGGAAAUCAAGCUUGGAACCAAGACGUACUACUUGGUGCACGGCUUACUGCAUGAUCUUGCAAGGUCUGUUGCUGCGGAGGACUGCUUCCAUGUUGACGAUGGCAUGAACUGUGACAUCCCGUCAACAGUGCGCCAUCUGUCUGUCACCAUGGACAGUCUACCUCGUCUCACAAGCUUCUGCAGUCUAAAAGAGCUGCGCACCUUGUUAAUCCGACCGUCACUUCCGUCCAACUCCAGCUGCUCCCAAGAGGAUUUUUCUGUGAAUUUAAAAAGUAUCCUGGAGAAUUCAAAACAGUUGCGUGUUCUUGAUGUCAAUUGCUUUAACUCCAACGAGUUGCCCCAAUGCAUUGAUGACUUACUGCACCUCCGUUACCUAUCUAUCCAUGGCUCCAUCCAGAGGCUUCCUGAGUCGAUUGGCAAGCUCCUGAAUCUGCAAGUAUUGUGCUUCACUGGGAAAUGUUCGUUUGAUAAGCUUCCUGAAAGCGUUACUAUGCUGGUCAAUUUGCGGCACCUUCUUGUUGUAACAAAGUGUACUGCAGGAUUGGCGGGCAUUGGUCGGCUAGCUAAGCUUCAGGGAUCACUCGAGUUCCACAUUGAAAAGAAGGAAGGGCAUAGAUCAGAAGAGUUGAGAAACAUCAAUGGUCUCCGUGGGUCACUAAAAGUAAAAGGUCUAGACAAUGUUUCAAGCUAUGAAGAAGCCUGCAAAGCUGAGUUGAAUAAGAAAACACAUCUUAAUUCUCUGAAUUUAGAAUGGAGCUCCGCUAGUAGAAAUAACCCCCCUCCUGCUGACGAAGAGGUACUUGAAGGCUUAAAGCCGCACCAAGAUAUAAAGGUACUUCAUAUAAGAAGGUAUUGUGGCACCAAAGCUCCCAGUUGGCUACAGUCAUUGCAACAAGUGCGUUCUUUGCACCUUAUCAAUUGCAGGAGUUUGGGCAUCCUUCCUCCAUUGGGGAAUUUGGGAUCACUCAGAUAUUUACACAUGAAGGAGUUGUGUGCAGUUGACCGAAUUGGACAUGAGUUUUAUGGCAACGGUGAUGUGGCAUUUCCAUCUCUAAGUGUCCUUGAAUUUGAUGAUUUCCCAAAGUUGCGUGAGUGGGCUAGAAUAGAGGACAAGAAUUCAUUUCCAUGCCUUGAAAGAUUAAUUAUAGUGGAUUGUCCACAAUUGGUCGAAAUUCCUCCCUUCUCCGCAACUACUCGUGAAGUUACCAUUGAGCGUACAGGCUUCAUGCCAUACAUGAGGCUUGCCCCUUUUUCUUCAAGUUCAGAGAAGCUCCAGCUGGAUGUUUGCACAACUUCUGUCCACUUCAACGGGUUGUUCCAUAAGCAGCAUAUAGAGGCUCUUGUAGCUUUAAACAUAAGUGGUGCUGAACAAGUCGUUGCUACUGAAGAAAUAGGGUUGCUUGUUUCCCUACAAAGGUUGCAACUUAGUCGCUGCAACUUUACUGACCAGAAUUUUAGUAGUUUUCUCCAGGCUCUGCCUCAUUUGUCCUUGUUGGAGAUGAUAGACCUGCCUAACGUAACAUCUCUUCCAGCAUCAGAAACACUUAGUUUCAGCACCAUGCUCACUGAGUUGUCCGUACGCAACUGCCAGUUUUUGCACUCUCUAUCCUCACUGCAGUUUUUUUAUUCACUAAAAGUUCUGGUGAUCGAGAGAUGUCCUAAAGUCACUACAACAUCAUUUCCGUUGAAAUUUAGGAGCCUUUCGUCUCUCAGAGUGCUGAGAAUAUCAUACUGCCCAGAGCUCCAAUCUUUACCAGUGUGUGGUCUGCCAUCCUCAUUGGAAACACUUGAUAUUAUUGGGUGCCACCCGGAGUUGUCCAAGCCAAGGAAGAGAGUGCAGUGA